rnacentral:rRNA from 1 species
AGAGUUUGAUCCUGGCUCAGGACGAACGCUGGCGGCGUGCUUAACACAUGCAAGUCGAACGGAAAGGCCCCCACCUUGGUGGGGGUGCUCGAGUGGCGAACGGGUGAGUAACACGUGGGUGAUCUGCCCUGUACUUCGGGAUAAGCUUGGGAAACUGGGUCUAAUACCGGAUAGGACCAUGGUUUAGUGUCUCAUGGUGGAAAGAUUAUUGUUUUGGUGCAGGAUGAGCUCGCGGCCUAUCAGCUUGUUGGUGGGGUAAUGGCCUACCAAGGCGUCGACGGGUAGCCGGCCUGAGAGGGUGGACGGCCACAUUGGGACUGAGAUACGGCCCAGACUCCUACGGGAGGCAGCAGUGGGGAAUAUUGCACAAUGGGCGCAAGCCUGAUGCAGCGACGCCGCGUGGGGGAUGACGGCCUUCGGGUUGUAAACUCCUUUCGUUAGGGACGAAGCCACACCUUUUUUUGGGUGUGGUGACGGUACCUUUGUUAAGAAGCACCGGCUAACUACGUGCCAGCAGCCGCGGUAAUACGUAGGGUGCGAGCGUUGUCCGGAAUUACUGGGCGUAAAGAGCUCGUAGGUGGUUUGUUGCGUCGUCUGUGAAAUUCCGGGGCUUAACUUCGGGGUGGCAGGCGAUACGGGCAUAACUAGAGUGCUGUAGGGGAGACUGGAAUUCCUGGUGUAGCGGUGGAAUGCGCAGAUAUCAGGAGGAACACCGAUGGCGAAGGCAGGUCUCUGGGCAGUAACUGACGCUGAGGAGCGAAAGCAUGGGGAGCGAACAGGAUUAGAUACCCUGGUAGUCCAUGCUGUAAACGGUGGGCGUUAGGUGUGGGGACCGGUUUGGUUUCUGUGCCGUAGCUAACGCAUUAAGCGCCCCGCCUGGGGAGUACGGCCGCAAGGCUAAAACUCAAAGGAAUUGACGGGGGC